AGAGUUUGAUCCUGGCUCAGAUUGAACGCUGGCGGCGUGCUUUACACAUGCAAGUCGAACGGCAGCACGGGUGCUUGCACCUGGUGGCGAGUGGCGAACGGGUGAGUAAUACAUCGAAACGUGCCUAAUAGAGAGGGAUAACUCAUCGAAAGAUGAGCUAAUACCGCAUAAGAUCUGAGGAUGAAAGCUGGGGACCUUCGGGCCUGGCGCUAUUAGAGCGGUCGAUGGCUGAUUAGCUAGUUGGUGGGGUAAAUGCCUACCAAGGCGAAGAUCGGUAGCUGUUCUGAGAGGAAGAUCAGCCACACUGGGACUGAGACACGGCCCAGACUCCUACGGGAGGCAGCAGUGGGGAAUAUUGGACAAUGGGGGCAACCCUGAUCCAGCAACGCCGCGUGAAUGAAGAAGGCCUUCGGGUUGUAAAGUUCUUUUAUUAGGGAGUAAAGUCACGAGGUUAAGAGCUAGGUGAUGUGAGAGUACCUAAUGAAUAAGCACCGGCUAACUACGUGCCAGCAGCCGCGGUAAUACGUAGGGUGCAAGCGUUAAUCGGAAUUACUGGGCGUAAGGGUGCGCAGGCGGAUAUAUAAGUUAGAUGUGAAAUCCCUGAGCUUAACUUAGGAACUGCAUUUAAGACUGUAUGUCUAGAGUUUGUCAGAGGGGGGUAGAAUUCCAAGUGUAGCAGUGAAAUGCGUAGAGAUUUGGAGGAAUACCAAUGGCGUAGGCAGCCCCCUGGGAUAAAACUGACGCUCAAGCACGAAAGCGUGGGUAGCAAACAGGAUUAGAUACCCUGGUAGUCCACGCCCUAAACGAUGUCUACUUGCUGUUGGAUCGGAAGAUUUAGUAGCGAAGCUAACGCGAGAAGUAGACCGCCUGGGGAGUACGGUCGCAAGAUUAAAACUCAAAGGAAUUGACGG
rnacentral:rRNA from 1 species